UACGUAGGGUGCAAGCGUUGUCCGGAAUUAUUGGGCGUAAAGGGCUCGUAGGCGGUCCAUCACGUCGGGAGUGAAAAGCUGGGGCUUAACCCCAGUCCUGCUUCCGAUACGGGUGGACUAGAGGUAGGUAGGGGAGAACGGAAUUCCUGGUGUAGCGGUGAAAUGCGCAGAUAUCGGGAGGAACACCAGUGGCGAAGGCGACUACCUGGCCCAUUCUUGACGCUGAGGCGCGAAAGCUAGGGGAGCGAACGGG
rnacentral:rRNA from 1 species